GUUCCUUUCUUCAUAAGUGUAGAGGAGAACGGCAGUUGUCCGCAUGUAAACUUCUAGCAUUUGUCACCAAUAUGAGUACAUCGCAAUCCGUUACUGUUUCAACACCCAGGGGUGUUUCAUGUCUGUAUUCUUAAACAAUUAUUAUUUUUUCUCUCUUUUUUUAGCAAUGCAUCACUCUCUACUGUCCUUAUCUAUUAUUCUAUAUUCUGCUACUCCAUCCAGAUUAUCGUGUAUACCAUGAGGGUUCGGAUUGGGGGUGUUGUUUAUUUCUGUAUUCUUUAAAUUGUUAUGUCACGUUUCUCCCGUGACUUUUUUUCCUUUUACCUUUUAUUUAUCUUACUCAUUAUUCUUUCUCUAUUCUUUAUAUUUUAGCAUCCCAAUAUAUUUUACUUACUGAUGUUUAGUUACAUAACGACGUUUAUCUCUGAUUUAUAUACUGGUUACCAAUGUAGAUGACAAGUUGGUCUCAUUCAUGACAAUUAAACAGAAUCCACAUGACAUAUGAGACCAUUCUUGGAUGAAAUUAACACUACUUUAAUAUUACACUUUUUGAAACCGUUUUUAUCAAUUUUCAAUUUCCUUUGUUUAAAUUGUUCAUUGUUCAUGUGUUGUUUCCGUAUAUUUUAUGUUUCAUUGCUCAUGUGUUGUUUCCGUAUAUUUUAGCCGCUCGUCUUGAGCCUACCCAUUUGAUCCGAUAACACCCCAUAUAGCAAUAAAAUUAUAUUUGUAUUGCCAUUCAUAACUCUUAACAGACCAAUUAACAGACCGGGUUUUAUACAUCCGACCCAUUAACAGACCAGGUUUUAAAUAAAGAUUGAUUUAUGUCACCAAAAUACAGAUUUUCG
rnacentral:lncRNA from 1 species